UAGGUUACCAGGGAAAAAUUUAUUUAACCUACUUAUACAACAAGCCAUUUUCUAGACCUCUGGAAGAGUUUAGUCACAUAAAACUGACAUCCCCAAAGCAAAACAACUUUAUUAUAUAAAAUAUAUUUUAUUUUGAAGCAGAAUUGCCAAGUAGUAAUUGAAAAUAUUUUGUUAAUCUUGUUUAAUUAUUGUGAGAUACAAAGCUAAUGAGUAUUUAUGAACACUCACAGUAUUUCAGGAUGUACUGUGCAAAAUUCCCUUAACUGUUGUCUCCUUUAGUCCUGUCCCAUUUUGUAGACAAAGAACCUGAGGUACAGGGGAUUUAAGUAACUAAAAUUAAGUGAGAGAGCUGGGAUCUCAUGGUUCCUAAGCACCGGCCAGUCGUGUCAUUUCAGUACCUUUGUAGUUUGAAAGUAUUAACAUUUCUUUCUAUAUAAAUAAUAAUUAUAAUCUUUCACUCUUUCGUAUGGUACUUAUUUUUAUCCGAUUCUAAGUAGUGAAAUUUAUCUUGUGUAUGAUAAAAUCUAGAUUUUUAUUUUACAUAUGUAAACCUUGAUAAACUUGUUGUAUUCUUUUUUUUACCCUUUUCUCUGGAAAUUUGGGAAGAUUUCAGGCCAUUAGUUUCAUUUAUAAUUAACUGAGGUUUAUAAUGUGUUAGCCUUAAGGAUUAAAUGUGUUUUAUUAUUUCUCAUCCAACCUACUAUUGUGCUGGACCAGGGUAUUAGCAUCUGGGGAGAAUAGAACUGCUAGUUGUUUGACAAAGAUAAAUUCCUGUACAGAGACUUGCUGUUCAGAAUGAACUUUAUCCCUAAUACUGCUUCUGAUUGAUUAAUAAGUGGGUUGAGCUUUCCUUUCAUAAUGCACCAGAGUAAAUCCUCUGAUGGGGAUGGUGAUAGCCACAGUUUUGAUAAUUUGUGAUGUAAUUUAUCACUAUUACUAUUAUUUUAACUUUCAAAAUUAUUCAUUUUCAUUUCUAUUACUGGAAGUGUUCUACUUUAAUUAAAAACUUUUAGUCACCAAAAGGCUUCAUAUGCAUAAACUCGCUAAUCCAUAUGCUCAGUCCAUGGCUUUAAAUUGUGUCCAUUACUGUACCUUAUAUUCUCAGCAACUAAAUCAGUGGUCACCAAGAAAGCUAGCCACUAACUGUGACUGCGUUGGUACAACUCAAAUAGCAUGUUUUAGCAAUGGUAGGUCAGCAUAUCAUUUUCAGAUAUAGGUAGCAUGUUAAAAAGCAAUUUCUCCACCUAGUCCUGUGAGCUAAGAAGUCAGUGUUUUUUAUGAGUAAAUAUUUGGAAAAAGAAACAAAGCCACAGAGAUAAAUCCUGGUUUUAUUUAAGUAAAAUGAAUGCCUGUUAUAUGAAGGAAUAUUUUCAAUCUUGUUGAAGAGGUAAAUAAGAAACAGUGUUUCACUGUCAAGAUGUAGCUUGCACAUGUGAUGGAAAAUUACUGAAGAGAAGCAGUUACAUUUCAGUGUCUCAAACCUGUUAGAAAGUGAGAGCAGUUUCUCUCCAUGGAAUUGUUAUUGUGAAAAAACAGGCUAGCUUGUAACCCUGGGGUGCUUGAUUCUGAGUCCAAAUUUAUAUUGGGCCUUCAACAAGGUGUGGAACUGUAAUAGGAUGUGGUGGUUUGCUAUAAGAUAGUUUAUUAGUCUAAUCCUUAAAAGCCCAUGGCAUUCUACUGAGAAUUAUCUGCCCUGAUUUUUCUCAGGUAAGAAAUGUAUUGGGGGGGGGGUCACUGUUAGACACUCCAAGUGGUUAAAUAAAAUAAAUAUGGAACAGUUGCUAGUAUAUGGGAACAUUACCUCAGUGUCUCCACUGUGGUGUAUCUUUGGCACAUUUAAAUUGUUGGCAAAAGAAAAAAAAUAUCAUAGAUGUAUUAAUACACAUAGUAACUUUGAGACAGUAUAAACUGUAUUUAAAUAUCUUGGAGUAUAGCUGUUUUACUUAUUGUUUGCAGGAAUGAGAUAAGAAUAAGACCUAUUGUAAGAAGACCCUAGGCUUCUGGAAUUUUCUUUUCACUGAGUAAGAUCUUAGGGAAAUCCCAAUUUAUCUGAUUUAAUGUCUAUGAGGAAGUAAUUUCUAGCUGACAACUAGUUCUAAUACAUAUUUUUUUUUGUUGCUUUAGGACAUUCUCAGUGUUUUAUAGUCUGUAAUUACUGCCUUGCUUAUAUAUGAAGGAAUAUCUUUAGUGAUUUAUAGUGAUCACAGCAUAUGUCCCAGACAUGCUUACUUUGGCAGACCCUGUUCCUUAUUAUAUCAAAUCCUAGUUCUAGUACACUUAUUUGAAUGCAUUACAUUAAAUUGAUUUUUUGAUAAUUUUAUUUUAAAAGAAUAAAUGAUUUAUUUUAUGGAUGUUAUUUGAAUAUAUAUAUUUUUUAAUUUUUAUAUUAUGGGUGGAAAGGAGACUUGGAAAGCUCAUAGAUCUUAGGUUUUUGUGUUUGAAAUAGCUAAUGUAAAAAAUUCCCCUGACUGUGAAAAGCUCAUCUAAACUAUUGCAGUUCUAUACAGUGGUCUGAGAUAGCCAUUACAAAGUGACUUACAAAGUUUUUAUGGCAAAGUUGAUAAGUGUUUUCUUCUACUUUUGUAAGAAGCAAUGUUGAAAUGCUUGGGCCUCUCGAGACAAAAUUCUGUUACCUUGAGAAUAGUGUAACUGACAGAAUCAGUGUUGUAAAUCCCAAGUGAAACUGCUUCUUAAUACGGAAUGAGUAUUACUCAGAUGCCAGUUUUUCAACCUAAGGGAUAAAAUGACCCUUAAUCUCACAGGUACAUGUUAAAAAGGUAUAUAUAACCUUUUUAACAUGGCCAUAUUAUACAUCUUUAUAAAAAGGAGCUGGAAGCCCUCCCUAUCCACACCUACACUGUAGAUACUGCAGAUUAAAAAAAAAAAAAGGUUGAACCUUGUGGAUCAAAGACAAGGCAGGAGAUAUAAAAUGGAUUAAAGUUAAAAUGAAGAUAAAUUCCUGAAAGCAAACAAAGGCAUGAGAAAAUGCAAAAGCUUUCAAGGUUAAAUAGAGUGAUAAUCUCAAAAGCCAAAUGAAUUUAAAGUUCUAUUCCAUUUUAUCACAACCUUUCACAAAUAAGACCUUAAAGAGAUACCUGGGUAAAUAUGAUGAGCUCCUGCAAUAGCUCACCACAGUAAUACCUUAUCUGUCAUCUAAUUGCCUUUCUUACAUUUUUAACCCCAUGU
rnacentral:lncRNA from 1 species